UACAGAGGGUGCGAACGUUGCUCGGAAUUACUGGGCGUAAAGCGCGUGUAGGCGGAGCCGCAAGUCAGAUGUGAAAGCCCCGGGCUCAACCCGGGAACUGCAUCUGAAACUGCGGUUCUUGAGUACUGGAGAGGGUGGCGGAAUUCCUGGUGUAGAGGUGAAAUUCGUAGAUAUCAGGAGGAACACCGGUGGCGAAGGCGGCCACCUGGACAGUCACUGACGCUGAGACGCGAAAGCGUGGGGAGCAAACAGG
rnacentral:rRNA from 1 species